ensembl:misc_RNA 7SK 7SK RNA
GGAUGUGAGGGCGAUCUGGCUGCGACAUCUGUCACCCCAUUGAUCGCCAGGGUUGAUUCGGCUGAUCUGGCUGGCUAGGCGGGUGUCCCCUUCCUCCCUCACCGCUCCAUGUGCGUCCCUCCCGAAGCUGCGCGCUCGGUCGAAGAGGACGACCAUCCCCGAUAGAGGAGGACCGGUCUUCGGUCAAGGGUAUACGAGUAGCUGCGCCCCCCUGCUAGAACCUCCAAACAAGCUCUCAAGGUCCAAAACUGUUUGGUGCAAAGUACAUAAAGUGUAAGUCAGGAAGCUUUACCUUAGAGGAUAGAUAC